rnacentral:rRNA from 1 species
AUGUACAAGACUAGGCUGACUUAUUCACUUAGAUGCUUGAGGUUUCUUUUGAACCAAGGAUUGGCAUUUCGUGGACAUGGUGAGAGUGAAGAAUUUAGCAAUAGGGGGAACUUUAUUGAACUUCUUAAGUGGCUUUCGGAAAAUGAUGAAGAAGUUAAUAAACAUCUUUUGAACAAUGCUCCUCAGAAUUGCAUCUUGACUAGUCCAAAGAUACAAAAUCAAAUAAUUGAAUGUUGUGUGGCGCAAACAACUAAAAUAAUUAUUGAAGAUAUUGGUGAUGACCACUAUGCAAUCCUAGCUGAUGAGUCUAGUGAUGCAUCUCACAAAGAACAACUUGCUCUCUGCAUACAAUUUGUUGACAAAUCAGGAAGAGGAUGUGAGAGAUUCCUUGGAGUUGUUCAUGUUGCCAAUACAACUUCAUUGUCACUUAAGGAUGUAAUUCAAACUUUGCUUAAAGAUCAUCAUUUGACUCCUAGUCAAAUGUGUGGGCAAGGAUAUGAUGGGGAAAGCAACAUGAAAGGGGAGAUUAAUGGGUUGAAAACAUUGAUCAUGAAUGAGUCACCCUCUGCCUAUUACAUCCAUUGUUUUGCACAUCAACUUCAGUUGGUUCUUAUAGCCGUGGCAAAGGAAAAUGAACCAUGUUUGUGGUUCUUUGAUCAUGUUUCUUACUUGCUCAAUAUUGUUGGAGUUUCUUGUAAGCGCCAUGACAUGCUUCGAGAUGUUAGAGCUCAAAAGGUUUUGUAAGCACUUGAAAUGGGUGAGAUGGAAAGUGGAAGUGGGCUAAAUCAAGAGAUGGGACUAGCUAGACCCGGCGAUACUCAUUGGGGUUCUCAUUUUAAAACCAUUAUGCACAUUGUUAGCAUGUAUUCCACAAUCCUUGAAGUACUUGAUGCUAUUGGAAAAGAUCCUUCACAAAAACGUGAGUGGACAAGAAUACGUGGAGUUGCUCAAGCCAUUGAAUCAUUUGACUUUGUGUUCAAUCUUCACUUGAUGCUUGUUAUUAUUGACUAUAUAAAUGAGUUGUCCAAAUCUUUGCAAAAGAGAGAUCAAGAUAUUGUUAAUGCAAUGGCACUUUUUAGUUUGGCAAAGAGUAGAAUGCAACACUUGAGGUCUCAUGGUUGGGAAGAAUUUCUUGCAAAGCUAACCUUAUUUUGCAACAAACAUGACAUUCAAGCUCCUUUGUGGGAGGAUACUUAUGAGCCUCAUGGAAGAUCACGUCGGUAUUAUGAAGUACAAACAAAUGAUGAUCGUUAUAGAAGAGAGGUAUAUCUUGGUGUCAUUGAUCAAACCAUUCAAGAGCUUGACAAUCGGUUUGAUGAGGUUAAUACGGAGUUGCUUAUUUGCAUGUCGGCUUUGAAUCCAAUCAACUCAUUUGCUUCUUAUUAUGCACUCAAGGUAAUGAGACUUGCCGAAUUCUAUCCCAUGGACAUAUCAAGCACAGAUUUGAUAAGGCUAGAAUUUCAACUUGCUACUUUUAUUGAUGAUAUGAGACAACAUGAUAGGUUUAGAAAUGCAAGUAAUAUUGGUGAUCUCUCUAUUAUGCUUGUUGCAACAAAGAAGCAUGUUCUUUAUGAUUUGGUCUACUUACUCAUCAAAUUGAUAUUGAUUUUACCGAAGGCGACGGCGAGUGUUGAAAGAGUAUUUUCAGCAAUGAAUCUAGUGAAAAGUAAGUUGAGGACUACUAUGAGUGAUGAUCGCUUGAAUGAUUGCUUGGUGACAUUUAUUGAACGAGAUGUGUUCAUAAAAGUAAGUGAAGAUGACAUAGUUGAUGCUUUCAUGGCAAUGCAAAAACGUAGAGUUACCUAA